rnacentral:rRNA from 1 species
AACGAACGCUGGCGGCAUGCCUAACACAUGCAAGUCGAACGAGACCUUCGGGUCUAGUGGCGCACGGGUGCGUAACGCGUGGGAACCUGCCUUUAGGUUCGGAAUAACUCAGAGAAAUUUGAGCUAAUACCGGAUAAUGUCUUCGGACCAAAGAUUUAUCGCCUUUAGAUGGGCCCGCGUUGGAUUAGCUAGUUGGUGGGGUAAAGGCCUACCAAGGCGACGAUCCAUAGCUGGUCUGAGAGGAUGAUCAGCCACACUGGGACUGAGACACGGCCCAGACUCCUACGGGAGGCAGCAGUGGGAAUAUUGGACAAUGGGCGAAAGCCUGAUCCAGCAAUGCCGCGUGAGUGAUGAAGGCCUUAGGGUUGUAAAGCUCUUUUACUCGGGACGAUAAUGACGGUACCGAGAGAAUAAGCCCCGGCUAACUCCGUGCCAGCAGCCGCGGUAAUGUGACU